rnacentral:rRNA from 1 species
GAUCAUGGCUCAGGAUGAACGCUAGCUACAGGCUUAACACAUGCAAGUCGAGGGGCAUCGGUUUGGUUUGCUUGCAAACCAAAGCUGGCGACCGGCGCACGGGUGAGUAACACGUAUCCAACCUGCCUCAUACUCGGGGAUGGCCUUUCGAAAGAAAGAUUAAUAUCCGAUAGCAUAUAUUUCCCGCAUGGGUUUUAUAUUAAAGAAAUUCGGUAUGAGAUGGGGAUGCGUUCCAUUAGUUUG